UCGAACGGCAGCACGGGGGCAACCCUGGUGGCGAGUGGCGAACGGGUGAGUAAUACAUCGGAACGUGUCCUGUAGUGGGGGAUAGCCCGGCGAAAGCCGGAUUAAUACCGCAUACGAUCUACGGAAGAAAGCGGGGGAUCCUUCGGGACCUCGCGCUAUAGGGGCGGCCGAUGGCAGAUUAGCUAGUUGGUGGGGUAAAGGCCUACCAAGGCGACGAUCUGUAGCUGGUCUGAGAGGACGACCAGCCACACUGGGACUGAGACACGGCCCAGACUCCUACGGGAGGCAGCAGUGGGGAAUUUUGGACAAUGGGGGAAACCCUGAUCCAGCAAUGCCGCGUGUGUGAAGAAGGCCNNNGGGUUGUAAAGCACUUUUGUC
rnacentral:rRNA from 1 species